GUAAACUAUGCCGGAAAAUAUGCUACUGGAGAUGAAAUAUUCUUGGCAGACUUGUAUCUGGCAUUCCAACUUGAUAAUGCAAUCAACCGGUUCAAGGUUGACAUGGCCGAGUUCCCACUUCUACUUAAGUUGAACAAGACUUACAGAAAAACACCAUCUUUCCAACAGAUUUUGACCGAGACUAUAUCAGAUGAUCCAGUUUUUGGCAUUGUCAAGCGACAAGAGGCUUAAGGCAUGUCAUCUUAAGGUAAAACCACGUUUGACUUGAUAAGACCUGCUCGAAUAAACUCAACAAGCUUAAGCUAUCCUAUAGCUUCUAUCUUCUUGUGUAGAAU